UCGUGCUGUCCUGUGCGCGCGGCGCGCGGCUCCGGAGAGGCGCCGGCAGCCCCGGGCGGCGCGCAGCGUCUCGCCCGCGCUCCCAGUGGUGCCUUCUCCCCCCGACUCCUUGCACCUCUCCAGCGCAAAGAUUUUCUGAAACAAUGGCGACACCCCGGAGGAGGACAAAGAAAAAAGCAUCUUUUGAUCAUUCUCCGGAUAGCCUGCCUUUGAGGAGCUCCGGUAGGCAGGCGAAGAAAAAAGCAACAGAGACAACAGACGAGGACGAAGACGGCGGGUCAGAGAAGAAAUAUAGGCGAUGUGAGAAGUCAGGCUGCACAGUAGCGUGUCCCGUGUGCUUUGCAAGCGCUUCUGAAAGAUGUGCCAAAAACGGCUACACAUCCCGAUGGUAUCACCUCUCCUGUGGGGAGCAUUUCUGUAACGAAUGCUUUGACCAUUACUACAGAAGCCACAAGGACGGAUAUGACAAAUACACUACCUGGAAAAAAAUAUGGACUAGCAAUGGAAAAACCGAACCUAGUCCCAAAGCUUUCAUGGCAGACCAGCAGCUCCCCUACUGGGUUCAGUGUACAAAACCUGAGUGUAGAAAAUGGAGACAACUUACCAAGGAAAUCCAUCUUACUCCACAGAUAGCAAGGACCUACCGAUGUGGUAUGAAAUCAAAUACUACCAUUAAGCCCGAGACCUCAGAUCAUUGCUCCCUUCCAGAGGAUCUAAGAGUGUCGGAAGUUUCCAACCACUGGUGGUACUCCAUGCUCAUCCUCCCUCCUUUGCUGAAAGACAGCGUGGCGGCACCCCUGCUCUCUGCCUACUACCCCGACUGCGUGGGCAUGAGUCCCUCCUGCACCAGCACCCACAGUGCAGCUGGCAGCGCCAGCCCUGGGAAGCUGGAGCACUCCAAGGCUGUCCCCUCUGCGCUGGUUCCAGGCAUGAACCGGUACUUCCAGCCUUUCUACCAGCCCAAUGAGUGUGGCAAAGCCCUGUGUGUGCGGCCGGACGUGAUGGAGCUGGACGAGCUCUAUGAGUUCCCAGAGUAUUCGCGAGACCCCACCAUGUACCUGGCUCUGCGGAACCUCAUCCUUGCGCUGUGGUACACUAACUGCAAAGAAGCUCUUACCCCUCAGAAAUGUAUUCCUCACAUCAUUGUCCGGGGUCUCGUGCGUAUCCGGUGUGUUCAGGAAGUAGAGAGGAUACUUUAUUUUAUGACGAGGAAAGGUCUCAUCAACACGGGAGUUCUUGGCGUCGGCACCGACCAGCAUCUUCUUCCUAAAGAUUACCACAACAAAUCAGUCAUCAUCAUCGGGGCUGGUCCAGCAGGAUUAGCAGCUGCUAGGCAAUUGCAUAACUUUGGAAUUAAGGUAACUGUCCUGGAAGCCAAAGACCGAAUUGGAGGCCGAGUAUGGGAUGAUAAAUCUUUUAAAGGUGUCACAGUGGGAAGAGGAGCCCAGAUUGUCAAUGGCUGUAUCAACAACCCAGUAGCACUAAUGUGUGAACAACUUGGCAUCAGCAUGCAUAAAUUUGGAGAGAGAUGUGACUUAAUUCAGGAAGGUGGACGAAUAACUGACCCCACUAUUGACAAGCGCAUGGAUUUUCAUUUUAAUGCUCUCUUGGAUGUUGUCUCUGAGUGGAGAAAGGAUAAGACUCAGCUCCAAGAUGUUCCUUUAGGAGAAAAGAUAGAGGAGAUCUACAAAGCUUUCAUCAAGGAGUCUGGUAUCCAUUUCAGUGAACUUGAGGAGCAGGUGCUUCAUUUCCACCUCAGCAACCUGGAGUAUGCCUGCGGCAGCAACCUCCAUCAGGUGUCUGCUCGCUCCUGGGACCACAACGAAUUCUUUGCCCAGUUUGCUGGUGACCAUACUCUGCUAAUGCCUGGCUACUCCGUAAUCCUUGAAAAACUAGCAGAAGGCCUAGAUAUUCGGCUCGAGUCUCCAGUACAGAGCAUUGAUUAUUCUGGAGAUGAAGUGCAGGUUACCAUCACGGAUGGGACAGGGUGUACAGCACAAAAGGUAUUAGUCACUGUCCCCCUGGCCUUACUGCAGAAGGGGGCCAUUCACUUUAACCCACCGCUGUCAGACAAGAAGAUGAAGGCUAUCAACAGCUUAGGCGCAGGCAUCAUUGAAAAGAUUGCCUUGCAAUUUCCUUAUCGAUUUUGGGACAGUAAAGUUCAAGGGGCUGACUUUUUCGGUCACGUACCUCCUAGUGCCAGCAAGCGGGGGCUUUUUGCUGUGUUCUAUGACAUGGAUCCCCAGGAAAGGAGCCCCAGCAUCUGCCAUAUUUUCUUCAAGUGUUCAUGUCGCUCCCCGGGAAGUGGAUUAGUGUUUCAGGCUGGUGGGGCGGUCUCUCGGGCAGAGUCCACACAACACAGUAAUGAGCAGUACCUGAACAGCACUCCCAGGGUCCUCCUGUGAGCUCCGAAGGGCGAGAUGUGAUUGGCCCGGAGGAGGGCGGGCUCGGCGUUGGCCCGUGUGGCCAGAGGGGGCGGCGGGUGGGGGACUUGAAAUGUACUAUUGAUGUCCUGCAGAAGAAUCACCCUGGUUGUUCCCUUUUCUUCUUCCUUCCAAGAAACUGCACCUUAAAAGGUUUCUCUUGGGAGCCACUGGCAAAAUUUCUUUACCGUUUGAGAAGGAUUUUUCCCGAUUUUAUUUGCAGAUGUUCCUUCUCCGUCUUCUGUUUUUUCUAGAACAAGUUCUUAUAAGGGAAAAGCCAAGAGCAACCCUGAAUUUGAUAUUUACCCUUCCUUCUGAGCUUUCCAGCCGCGAACAACAAAAUGUAUAGAUGCAUAAUGAGUUUUGUCAGGGAAACGGACUGGGGAUGGAAAGGAGGAGGAGAUAAGGAGAAGCAGCACAGCGUGCUGAUGUCGGUGGUCGCCGGGGAGGCGGUGGCGUCCGUGAGGACCCUGGAUGACAAGCAGGUGCUGCAGCAGUGCAUGGCUGUCCUCCGGGAGCUGUUCAAGGAGCAGGAAGUCCCAGAUCCCACGAAGUAUUUUGUCACUCGGUGGAGCACAGACCCCUGGAUCCAGAUGGCGUACAGCUUUGUGAAGACAGGUGGGAGCGGAGAAGCCUACGAUAUCAUUGCCGAGGAAAUACAAGGAACGGUCUUUUUUGCUGGCGAGGCAACAAACAGGCAUUUUCCACAAACUGUUACAGGGGCAUAUUUGAGUGGUGUUCGAGAAGCAAGCAAGAUCGCAGCAUUUUGAGUAGAAUUUGUCUGGACCCAGCUUUCUUCUGUGUCCCAAAUGGUAAAGUUUGAAACACAUGUUAAACCUCACUUUCAUAAAACCAAACAAAAAAACCUUCUCUGAGAGCAUUCUUAGCCCCAAGAAUCCGUUUGAAGCACUUAUAUUUAAUUGCUUUUUCCACAGGCUGAUUAGGGCUAAGUCCUCUGUAUUUCAGAAUAAGGCAGAACAGAACCUUAAAUUAAGAUUUUGGAUUGGAUUUCUUCCAUGGUUGGAGACUCCCUUUAAAUUUGAUAUUUUGUUGGGCUCAUCAGUUUUCAAACAUUGAGAAACCAAGCAGCAAUUGCUAAAAAACCAGAUAAAGCCAUGUAUUUUUCUUCUGUGACAGUUUAUCAGUAUCUUUGCCAGUGAGCCUUAAGACUUUUCUAUAGCUCCAAUAUUGAACUUUUACUUAAAAUUUAGAUAAGAAUCUGUCCAUUUCGGAUACAGCACAAACUUCAGUUAAAAGUAAAUGAAACUUCUAGACUAUUUUAUAUUGUACAUAUUUCUUUCCAUUGGGUUAUUCAAAAAUUUAAAUUCAGGUAUCUUUUGUGAUACAUUUUAGAUUUGUGCACUCAUUGGCAAAACAACAUUUUCAAUUCCUUAAACAGCAUAGGUAUUCUGUCAUUAAGAAUGGGGUAGAGAUAGUCUAGUCUUCAUACUUUAGACCAUUUAGAAUAUGGCUAUUUUUCUAAGAGCCAAGUUUGGGUGGAUGGCACACUUUAAAGAGCCUUAAUUUUGGCACCCACUAGCAAAAAGAUCUUUCUUGUCAGAAUACUUUAGUAAGAAACUCCCUCUACUGCUUUUUAAAAUAACAGAUUCAGACUUUAGGAGUAUUUUUUACAGCAUUAUGUUUUCAGUAUUCCAUAGGCAGGUCCACUGGAAAACUGCAGAAAAAUGGGAUAUCCUGGUAAAUAUUACUCAUUUAAAGCCAUAUCUUAAAAGCCUGAGAACAUGGCAGAUACUUUUUCCUUUUUUCACUCAUGACAAAAUAAUUCAAUUAAAAUAAACACUGGUUUCAGGGUCUUCAGGAUGCUUAUCUUGCCAAGAAGUUAGAAAAGUGGAUGGUAACUUAAGUGCUUUUGUUUUAAAAAGUGUGAACAGUUCUUUCAAUUAUAUUAGUCUGCUUCAAAAAGGGACUCAAAAUGACUUUAAAGACACGUUGCAAAAUAUUAGGUAUUUUUAAAAUUUAAAGUCAUCUUCUAAGUAGAAAUAGUAUUUUAUGCAAACUUUAGACAGAAUUUAGACACAUUCCCUCCCCAUCAAAGUAUGAUACACAGAAAAGGCAACAGCCGUAAAUUGGUUUCAAAGUUGGGUUAACCCAGGAAAAUGUUGAUAUUUAGAUUAUCUGAUGAGACUCAUUGGUACUGAUUGGGAAGUAUUCUGCUUUAAAAUGCUAUGUUUUAAAAUGUUUAAAGAAUAGCAUGUGUUCAGUGAUAAACGCAAAAUAUUUUAAGUUUGAAAUGGCUCAUGAUUGUUUAGUUUCUGGGCACUUAAACUUGUACUGUGCUUAGAAGCAAACUGCGGAAAAACCUAGUUAGCUCAAGUACAGUACAGCAAGUAUGUACGUAAAAAAUUUCCUGUCUCAAGUGACUCAUUUGACUUUUUGUUCGUUAAGGAACCACGGUACUUUUCUUGAGUUUGUUUUUCACUGUUUGAAGAUUCUGUAAUUGAAUAGCAGUGAAUACAGUGUUUUAACUGCAGAUUGUGAACAAGCUGGUUGUGUAAAACUGCUUAAUAAAAACUAGACUUGUUUUUCAAA